rfam:Myotis brandtii contig179254, whole genome shotgun sequence.
AGACCCAGAGAGAGAGAGGCAGGGUCUGAUCCACAGCCUCAGUGGAAGCUGUUGAUCAGUUCUUGCCUCUUUCUUUCUCUCCC